AAAAAUGUCCCGCGUUAACGACCUGGGAUGAUUCUCAGAGAGUUACAAGAGACAGGGAUGGGAGAAGCACGUAUGAAGCAGAAACAGAUCCCAAUGGACAUCAUUCAACCAUCAAUUGACAAAAACAAUUAAACUCUUUGGCAAGCUCCAUAGGUGGGACUUGAAACCAGACCUUCUGGCUGAGAGCAAAUUCGCUUCAAUAUCAACAAAUUUGACAGACGAACAACAGAAAAUGCGACGCUCACUAAUGCACA